UACAGAGGUCUCAAGCGUUGUUCGGAAUCACUGGGCGUAAAGGGUGCGUAGGUGGCGUGGAAAGUCAGAUGUGAAAUCCGGAGGCUCAACCUCCGAAUUGCAUCCGAUACUCCCAUGCUAGAGAACUGGAGGGGAGUCUGGAAUUCUCGGUGUAGCAGUGAAAUGCGUAGAUAUCGGGAGGAACACCAGUGGCGAAGGCGACUACCUGGCCUAUUCUUGACGCUGAGGCGCGAAAGCUAGGGGAGCAAACGGG
rnacentral:rRNA from 1 species